UUGGAGGGCAAGUCUGGUGCCAGCAGCCGCGGUAAUUCCAGCUCCAAUAGCGUAUAUUAAAGUUGUUGCAGUUAAAAAGCUCGUAGUUGAAUUUCGGGGUCAGUAGGUUGGUCAUGCCACUGGUAUGUACUGGUCUCACUGAUUCCUCCUUCCUGAUGAACUGUAAUGCCAUUAAUUUGGUGUUGCAGGGAAUCUGGACUGUUACUUUGAAAAAAUUAGAGUGUUUAAAGCAGGCUAACGCCUGAAUACAUUAGCAUGGAAUAAUGAAAUAGGACGUUCGAUCCUAUUUUGUUGGUUUCUAGGAUUGACGUAAUGAUUAAUAGGGAUAGUUGGGGGCAUUAGUAUUCAAUUGUCAGAGGUGAAAUUCUUGGAUUUAUUGAAGACUAACUACUGCGAAAGCAUUUGCCAAGGAUGUUUUCAUUAAUCAAGAACGAAAGUUAGGGGAUCGAAGACGAUCAGAUACCGUCGUAGUCUUAACCAUAAACUAUGCCGACUAGGGAUCGGAUGAUGUUAAUUUUUUAAUGACUCAUUCGGCGCCUUACGGGAAAC
rnacentral:rRNA from 3 species